GAUGAAAACGCAGCGAAAUGCGAUAAGUAAUGUGAAUUGCAGAAUUCAGUGAAUCAUCGAAUCUUUGAACGCACCUUGCGCUCCUUGGUAUUCCGAGGAGCAUGCCUGUUUGAGUGUCAUGAAAUUCUCAACCUUUUCAGCUUUCUUUGUUGAUCAGGCUUGGAUGUGGGAGUAUGCGGGCUUCUCAGAAGUCGGCUCUCCUGAAAUGCAUUAGCGGGACCUUUGUUGCCUGGCUUUGGUGUGAUAAUUAUCUACGCCAUUGUAGUCAAGCAGCUUAAAAUGAGGUUUCAGCUUCUAACCGUCUCCCCUGAGACAACUUUUUGACAAUUUGACCUCAAAUCAGGUAGGACUACCCGCUGAACUUAAGCAUAUCAAUAAGCGGAGGA
rnacentral:misc_RNA from 1 species